CAGCCACAACAACAAUAAGGAAGUGCUUUUGUCAGCCAUAACAACAAUAAGGAAGUGCUUUCGUCAGCCAUAACAACAAUAAGGAAGUGCUUUCGUCAGCCAUAACAACAAUAAGGAAGUGUUUUCGUCAGCCAUAACAACAAUAAGGAAGUGCUUUUGUCAGCCACAACAACAAUAAGGAAGUGCUUUUGUCAGCCACAACAACAAUAAGGAAGUGCUUUUGUCAGCCAUAACAACAAUAAGGAAGUGCUUUCGUCAGCCAUAACAACAAUAAGGAAGUGCUUUCGUCAGCCAUAACAACAAUAAGGAAGUGCUUUCGUCAGCCAUAACAACAAUAAGGAAGUGCUUUCGUCAGCCAUAACAACAAUAAGGAAGUGUUUUCGUCAGCCAUAACAACAAUAAGGAAGUGUUUUCGUCAGCCAUAACAACAAUAAGGAAUUAAUAUACACUUUUAGAAUAUGAUAUAGACAGCAAUAUUUGAAUAUACACAGAGUUAUAUAUAUAUAUAUAUAUAUAUACAUUAUUCCUUUGAAAGUAAUCGUCUUUGUGUAAUGUCCAACAACAACAAUGUACAAAAAUAUAUUUCAGUAUAAUAGUCGAUGUGGAUGUUUCCCCCUACUAGAGGGCGCUGAUGAGCAGUGUUUCAGUGCUACAGUCUCACAAGGCCUGCGUUCCAAUAAUCUCUCCUUUCUCCAGAAGUGUCCACUUCCCUUUAUUGGGGAUAUUCACAAUUUGUUUAUUUAACUCCUCCUUCCUCGUCCAGGAGAGCGAAUGUGCUUGUUUUGACAUGAGGUUAACACUUUAUUUGGCUCGACAGACGACCUGUAACAUUUCAAAUAACUAUCUACUAACCCUCGCUCUAACCCUGACCUGAGCAAGCAGUUUCUCAUCAACAGAUCGUCCGGACUAUCCAAAUAAAAAUGUAAUUGAAAUGAGACUCUCCUUGUCCAUUGGCGCGCCAUACGGCAAACAGAAUCCAGAAUAUACGUGUAUAGUGGUAGAAAUAAAUGUUGCUAGUUGUGGCAGACAUAUUCCAGAUAAAACCUUGAGUAGCAUGUUUUUUUUUAAAUGUCUGCUUGCUUUUCUUCUCCUCUGACAAAACAACAGCUGAUUCAAAGGGGGUUGUUGCAUAUAUUACAACUCUUCCAUAAAGGACUAUCCUAGGUGAAAGGAGGAUACUCGGGGAGGGGAGGACACCCGGGGAGGAUACUCUGGGAGGGGGGGGGACACCCGGGG
ensembl:lncRNA